GACGAACGCUGGCGGCGCGCCUAACACAUGCAAGUCGAGCGGGAAGCUUUUUAAGGAUUCUUCGGAUGAAUUAAAAGUGGAGAGCGGCGGACGGGUGAGUAACGCGUGAGAAACCUGCCCUAUACAGGGGGAUAGCCAUUGGAAACGAUGAUUAAUACCCCAUAUGACCACAGUAUCGCAUGAUACAGCGGUGAAAACUCCGGUGGUAUAGGAUGGUCUCGCGUCUGAUUAGCUAGUUGGUAAGGUAACGGCUUACCAAGGCGACGAUCUAUAGCCGACCUGAGAGGGUGAUCGGCCACACUGGAACUGAGACACGGUCCAGACUCCUACGGGAGGCAGCAGUGGGGAAUAUUGCACAAUGGGCGAAAGCCUGAUGCAGCAACGCCGCGUGAGCGAAGAAGGUCUUUCGGAUCGUAAAGCUCUGUCCUAUGGGAAGAACACAAUGACGUACCA
rnacentral:rRNA from 1 species